CAGGCCUAACACAUGCAAGUCGAACGAGCUCUUCGGAGCUAGUGGCGCACGGGUGCGUAACGCGUGGGAAUCUGCCCUUAGGUUCGGAAUAACUCAGGGAAACUUGAGCUAAUACCGGAUGAUGUCUUCGGACCAAAGAUUUAUCGCCUGAGGAUGAGCCCGCGUCGGAUUAGCUAGUUGGUGAGGUAAAGGCUCACCAAGGCGACGAUCCGUAGCUGGUCUGAGAGGAUGAUCAGCCACACUGGGACUGAGACACGGCCCAGACUCCUACGGGAGGCAGCAGUGGGGAAUAUUGGACAAUGGGCGAAAGCCUGAUCCAGCAAUGCCGCGUGAGUGAUGAAGGCCUUAGGGUUGUAAAGCUCUUUUACCCGGGAUGAUAAUGACAGUACCGGGAGAAUAAGCCCCGGCUAACUCCGUGCCAGCAGCCGCGGUAAU
rnacentral:rRNA from 1 species